CGUGGCUCAGUUGGAAGAGCAUUGGGCUAGUAUUCCAAAGGUCGUAGGUUCGAAUCCCACCGUGGCCGGGCAUGUUUUUCAAGCUCGCCCGGUGUGGAUAUACACUCAUAGUAACACCACAAAUAUCAUAUUCACCUGAGUACACUACACCAACACAGAAAAAAAAAUUCAUAUUACCAGAAUACAUUGGUAUCGAAGGAACUAGAUUCUGUUCCGAAAUAUCACUUACUCGAACCGUCCUGACCGCGUAGCUCAGUUGGAAGAGCAUUGGGCUAGUAUUCCAAAGGUCGUAGGUUCGAAUCCCACCGUGGCCGGGCAUAUAUUUCAAGCUCGCCCGGUGUGGAUAUACACUCAGAGUAACACCACAAAUAUCAUAUUCACCUGAGUACACUACACCAACACAGAAAAAAAAUUCAUAUUACUAGAAAACAUUGGUAUCGAAGGAACUAGAUUCUGUUCCGAAAUAUCACUUACUCGAACCGUCCUGACCGCGUAGCUCAGUUGAAAGAGCAUUGGGCUAGUAUUCCAAAGGUCGUAGGUUCGAAUCCCACCGUGGCCAGGCAUAUAUUUCAAGCUCGCCCGGUGUGGAUAUGCAC